GGGUUGUGAGGUUAAGCGACUAAGCGUACACGGUGGAUGCCCUGGCAGUCAGAGGCGAUGAAGGACGUGCUAAUCUGCGAUAAGCGUCGGUAAGGUGAUAUGAACCGUUAUAACCGGCGAUUUCCGAAUGGGGAAACCCAGUGUGAUUCGUCACACUAUCAUUAACUGAAUCCAUAGGUUAAUGAGGCGAACCGGGGGAACUGAAACAUCUAAGUACCCCGAGGAAAAGAAAUCAACCGAGAUUCCCCCAGUAGCGGCGAGCGAACGGGGAGCAGCCCAGAGCCUGAAUCAGUGUGUGUGUUAGUGGAAGCGUCUGGAAAGGCGUGCGAUACAGGGUGACAGCCCCGUACACAAAAAUGCACAUACUGUGAGCUCGAUGAGUAGGGCGGGACACGUGGUAUCCUGUCUGAAUAUGGGGGGACCAUCCUCCAAGGCUAAAUACUCCUGACUGACCGAUAGUGAACCAGUACCGUGAGGGAAAGGCGAAAAGAACCCCGGCGAGGGGAGUGAAAAAGAACCUGAAACCGUGUACGUACAAGCAGUGGGAGCACGCUUAGGCGUGUGACUGCGUACCUUUUGUAUAAUGGGUCAGCGACUUAUAUUCUGUAGCAAGGUUAACCGAAUAGGGGAGCCGAAGGGAAACCGAGUCUUAACUGGGCGUUAAGUUGCAGGGUAUAGACCCGAAACCCGGUGAUCUAGCCAUGGGCAGGUUGAAGGUUGGGUAACACUAACUGGAGGACCGAACCGACUAAUGUUGAAAAAUUAGCGGAUGACUUGUGGCUGGGGGUGAAAGGCCAAUCAAACCGGGAGAUAGCUGGUUCUCCCCGAAAGCUAUUUAGGUAGCGCCUCGUGAAUUCAUCUCCGGGGGUAGAGCACUGUUUCGGCAAGGGGGUCAUCCCGACUUACCAACCCGAUGCAAACUGCGAAUACCGGAGAAUGUUAUCACGGGAGACACACGGCGGGUGCUAACGUCCGUCGUGAAGAGGGAAACAACCCAGACCGCCAGCUAAGGUCCCAAAGUCAUGGUUAAGUGGGAAACGAUGUGGGAAGGCCCAGACAGCCAGGAUGUUGGCUUAGAAGCAGCCAUCAUUUAAAGAAAGCGUAAUAGCUCACUGGUCGAGUC
rnacentral:rRNA from 1 species